GUCCACGCCCUAAACGAUGUCAACUGGUUGUUGGGACUGUUUCCACGGUCUCCGUGCCGUAGCUAACGCAUUAAGCGCCCCGCCUGGGGAGUACGGCCGCAAGGCUAAAACUCAAAGGAAUUGACGGGGGCCCGCACAAGCGGCGGAGCAUGCGGCUUAAUUCGAUGCAACGCGAAGAACCUUACCUGGGCUUGACAUGGAGAGUAAACCGUCAGAGAUGGCGGCUCAUUUAGUUGGCUCUCACACAGGUGGUGCAUGGCUGUCGU
rnacentral:rRNA from 1 species